CUUCACUGGUUCAGUUGUCGAGGCAUUGGGGAAUGGGAAUGGCGAUGUCUAUGUUCAGAACUCAGCCACCUGAUCCACGCUCUAGCUACUGUCAACUUGGAUGGUCUUUACAGAGGUCCCCGUAGUUGCCCUGUGAUCAAAGGUUGCCAAGGUGCAAAUAGUACUUUCAGUCUUCCCAUUCAUUCCCAGUGGAACCUUCUUCUCCCUAAGAAUUGUAUAUAAAAGAAUUGACCCCGAGACAAUUGCUUUCUUCACUGACAUUUGCAAAUGGAAUUGGAAACUUCCACCUUUGUAAUGUAGCUCCUUUUUCCAAGAAUUUCUGAUGGACAUGUACCAAGACAAGACAAGGAGACGGGCAGAAUUUGUAGAAGACUGUGUCUUGCAUGUAAUAGAAAGAAAGAGCAGUAGCUAGCCAAAAUAGAGACUGUUCUAGAAGUGAUCARAUCUCUGAGACAAUUUGAUUGUCCAGACUCCAGCCAAUUGCAGUUUACUUGAGGAAAACCAUCAAGGAGACCAUGUUGUUCUAGUGAAGUUGGAACAGCCAGCACUACCUGUCGAAAAAUACGAAGAGAGAUCGCUGCUUGGCUCUGGAUCCUUGUYGAACUAUAGCUCGAAACUUCUAAGGAAAUAAUGUUUCUACCUCAGGCCAUUCCAAYGUUUCAGAGGAAUCCAAGGAUGGUGUCUCCUCUUGUUCUAAGUGGUUGUAAAUCCCUUUCAUUAUCAUUUGCAACAGACACRGAUUUUAGUUGAAUGGUUGAAACUUGUGGGUCAUCUUUUAGCAGUUGCAGUGCCAUGGUAACCUUUACAUGAUUCCCUUUUAUUGACAGAUUAUUCUUUCCUACA